ACACAGCUACCAGACAUAAAUGGACAUUGAAAACUAAUCUAGAAAGCCACCUGAAAAUUCUCCAUCCCACGGCUGGCUCAUUCGGAUGGAUAGGUUCUUGAACCUGCAACAACAGCCAACAAGAUUCAUUCAUAUACAUGAAGAAACCAGUUCCUAAAUUCAUCAAAAACAGAAGCAGUUUGUAGUAUUUUCUUGUCUUCUUGAAGUGCGCUCUGGAUUGGUUGAUGAACAAGUAAACUUUCUUGGAAAUCCGUGGCCCUCAAGAUUCAACAAAACUCAAUGUUCUUGAGAUUUGAACUUUUCCAAGUCUUCUUUAACUAAUCAUUUUCUCAUGUAUUUGUAUGUGGAAUUAUAAUUUUGGUCAAAGUGGGUGUAGGUUUCUGUUCUGCUGAUCUGGCAGCAUGGGGGAUGGUGACGUGGACCAAAGGGUUUCUUCUUGGUUUGUCUCAGGUUAUCAUCCUUGUGAUCCACCUCUCUUCUCAUAAAGAAAAACGGUCUCUACUUUCUAUUUUUA